rnacentral:lncRNA from 1 species
UUACCAUAAAAUUCAGCUCCAAUGGCCCUUUCCCAGCUUCAAUCCCUACAGACAAGCUGUGGUGCUAACCUGAAAUAUAAAAUGCUUAGUCAAUCAAAAUUGUUUUAAAGGAUCACUUCUGGAAUACCGUAUCUACUUUAUAUAAAAUGGGUUAUAUACAUGUGACAGGUUUUGAGAACAUUGAUAAGACAUCAAUCCAACAACCCAAUUCAAUCCUUAAAAGCGGUAGGUUUAAAAGGGCUAAAGUUGGCCAUAAGAUUUUAAUCUUUUUUAAUUCAGGUCCAAAUGCUACAUAUAAAUUGUUGUGGUAUCAUUUUUGAUACAAAAUAACCACUUCUUUUUUUUGGCAUUUAACAAUAUAAACUACAAAGUUAUGACCUCUUGAUUAUGCAAUUCUGGUGUUUUCGCAAAAGCGCCAAUUAAGGUCCAAUUUUUCACAAUUUAGAACAGUUUUCAGCAUAAUUCACUUUCCCUGAUCCAGUAAUAGUGUAUGUCUUGUAAUUUAAAUAUUACCCUUGGCACCUAUAGGUUACUUAACAUUUUGGAUCAAAGGUAUUCUUUAAGCUUUUAGGUAAGAACAUCGCAUUUUGAUAAUAUCUCCCAAUUUAGCUAAUUAUGGAGUCUACAGUGUAUUAUAAAGAAGCUUUUUCUUUUAUGUCGCCAUAAGUCUCUUGAUAUAUCCAUUUAAGAACCAGAUUGGGGCCUUUUUGGAAUUCUAUGAUGAAAGUUGAAAUUUAAAAUCUAUAAUAAGGCCAUAUUUUGCCAAGUGAACAUUGUCAUAUGGUACUGAUAAAAUAAAAGAG